UUCAUUAUCAGGCGCAAUUGGCUAGCGCGUUCGACUGUUACAACACAGACAAAUCGAGAGGUUGGUGGUUCGAGCCCACCCGAGGGAG